rnacentral:rRNA from 1 species
UGUAACUGAGAAGCAGGAGACUGAGAAAUGACGAAGGGUGCAAUGGUGUGUGGGAAUUAUCUGGCGUAAAGCGAAAGUAGGCGGCGUUGCAAGACUGAUGGUAAAUCCCGCGGCGUAAGCAGUGAAGUGCAGCCGAAACUGCAUAGCAUGAGUACGAAAGAGGGUGGCGGAAUUCCCGGUGUAGAGGUGAAAGUCGUAGAUAUCGGGAGUAACACCAGUGGCUAAGGCGGCGAUCUGGGUCGAUACGGACGCUUAGGUGCGAAAGCGUGGGGAGCAAACAGGAUUAGAUACCCCAGUAGUC